UACUCCAGCUAGAAAGCAGAAUACCUUAAAGAAGUCUUACUGGAAGUCACCAGUGAAUCCUAAGGACUUUGAUCUAAGCUGGAAUCUGGCUGUUUCAAAUCUUGCUGCAGAAAGGUUC